UCCUUUGUCGAGGAGAAUUGAAAUGUCAUUUGACAAGUGAAAACCAAAGGUGACCGUUCAGGUUACAACAUCGAGGAAUAACCAUGUUCCUGAUGUAGAAAAAUAAAAAGAGAUUUAAAGAUUUGAUCUUUGUUGCGUUUUUUUUGUGAAGUUCAGACAGAGGGAAGGAUUUUCAAAUAAAUGAUGGAUUAAAUACUGGAAUAUCCCAAUUCUCAAUGACUGUGAAAGGCGGUCCCGGUUACCUGUGAAGUACUGGGACCGCCACACCGUUAAACAUCAUGCUGGAAAAGCCCACCAAUGUUUCAGCCACAGAUCCAAGAAAAUUUUCAAUAAAUGUCAGAAUAAGGGGAUAACACGUUAUUGAUUCGAUUAUGGUGAAGCCCAAAAGAAACGAAAUCCCGACCUGCCUUAAAGAACCCCAACUAUGAAGAGUUGAACGCGAGCUAUCAGGGUGUCUUAGUAAAAGGCAUUGAAAGUAUUCUGUAAGCCAGACGGCGGUGUGUGGCAAAAAUUAAUCCAGUGUAUAAGAAACAAAAGUAAUCUAACUAGUAACGAAGACAAAUCUGCGUUUAUAUAUAAAUAUAUAUAUGAAUACCUACGUAAAUUAAGAAACAAAAUUUUGAAGAUACUAUUUAUGUUAAAAAUUGUUAAAUGUGUGUUUUGUCCAUUAUAACGGCAUUGAAGUUUACUUUUGCUAAAAUGUUGUUUAAUUUUUUUUUUCUUCCCUUUAAAUAUAUCUAAAUUUUGAAUUAAUGAUUUCUGUAAGUGAUAUAGGUUGUUUCCUCCGUGUUCUAGUCGCGUUCCAAUCGGUUAUUUUUGUUACUACUCUGAUAACUAUCCACCUCCAACGAGCUCGAUGCAGGUAGGGACUACGAGUUAGCGCUUUCCUUUAUAAUUUGAUUAAGCAUCAAAAAGGGUGUUACACUUUAUUUCUUUUGCCCGGUGGGAAACUGACCAAGGUCACAUUGCUUUUGAUUUGAUUUUUUUUGUUGGUUAAUUUUAAUUUCCAAAAUACAUUACCUGUAAAAUGUUCAUGUAAUAUUCUUAUUUAAAGUUAUUGAAUAAAAACAACUUCAAACGCCGAAUAAUUUAAAUGAAAA